rnacentral:lncRNA from 10 species
AGAAGGGCCAGCACCCACAGGCCAUCUCUCUGGUAGGUGGAGACAAGCAAGCUGUCAUGUUAUAAGCAGCCCUUUGAGGGGUCCAUGUGAUGUCAAGGAAUGAAGUCUCUAGCCAACAUUUAAUGAGGAACUGAGGCCCACCAACAACCUUGAGUGAGCUUGGAAGUAGCUCCUUCAGCAUCAGUUGGGUGUCGAGAUGACUACUGACAGCUUGACUGCAACUUCAUGAGAGUCUUCUGGACCAGAACCACUCAGUUAAGUGGCUCCCAGAUUCCUG